rnacentral:ncRNA from 1 species
AUCCGGUCAGCACCUGACACCCGACGAGGCGCACCGUACCGGGCCAGCGACAAGACGGCGCAUG